rnacentral:rRNA from 1 species
GGUCAAGCUAAUAAGGGCUAACGGUGGAUACCUAGGCACACGGAAGCGAAGAAGGACGUAGUUACCGACGAAACGCUUCGGGGAGCGGGAAGCAAGCAUUGAUCCGAAGAUAUCCGAAUGGGGCAACCCUAAACACGACCACCUGAAUACAUAGGGUGGAGCGAGCAAACCUGGUGAACUGAAACAUCUUAGUAGCCAGAGGAAAAGAAAGCAACAGCGAUUCCCCCAGUAGCGGCGAGCGAAAAGGGAACAGCCUAAACCAAGUUCUUCGGAACUUGGGGUCGUGGGACAGUGACAAAAGACUGGGAAAUUUAGACGAAGCGGCUGAAAACCGCACCAGAGAGGGUGAAAGUCCUGUAGUCGAAAAAGGAACCAGCUUAACUGCAUCCCGAGUAGCAUGGGGCACGUGAAAUCCCGUGUGAAUCUGCCUCGACCACGAGGUAAGGCUAAAUAUUCCCGUGUGACCGAUAGAGAAACAGUACCGCGAGGGAAAGGUGAAAAGAACCCCGGAAGGGGAGUGAAAUAGAACAUGAAACCGUUAGCCUACAAGCAAUGGGAGGACGAUUGAACGUCUGACCGUGUGCCUGUUGAAGAAUGAGCCGGCGACUUACAGGUUAUGGCAGGUGAAGGGGGAAGACCCCACAGCCCCAGCGAAAGCGAGUCUGAAUAGGGCGAAACGUCAUAAUUUGUAGACCCGAACCCGGGUGAUCUAACCAUGGCCAGGAUGAAGCUUGGGUAAAACCAAGUGGAAGUCCGAACCGACUAAUGUUGAAAAAUUAGCGGAUGAGCUGUGGUUAGGGGUGAAAUGCCAAUCGAACUCGGAGCUAGCUGGUUCUCCCCGAAAUGUGUUGAGGCGCAGCGGUAGUGGAAGUUUAGUCGGGGUAAAGCACUGUUUCGCCGCGGGCUGGGAGACCGGUACCAAGGCGAGGCAAACUCUGAAUACGGCUAAAAAAACUACCAGUGAGACGGUGGGGGAUAAGCUUCAUCGUCAAGAGGGAAACAGCCCAGACCACCAGCUAAGGUCCCCAAAUGAUAACUAAGUGAGAAAGGAGGUGGGAGUGCAUUGACAACCAGGAGGUUUGCCUAGAAGCAGCAACCCUUAAAAGAGUGCGUAAUAGCUCACUGGUCAAGCGCUCCUGCGCCGAAAAUGAACGGGGCUAAGUUAUCUACCGAAGCUGUGGACUACAUUGUAGUGGUAGGGGAGCGUUCUAUAGGGGGUGAAGCAGUAGCGGCAAGCAGCUGUGGACUCUAUAGAAGUGAGAAUGUCGGCUUAAGUAGCGAAAAUGUGGGUGAGAAUCCCACACCCCGAAACCCCAAGGUUUCCUCCGCAAGGCUCGUCCGCGGAGGGUCAGUCAGGACCUAAGGCGAGGCUGAAAAGCGUAGUCGAUGGACAACGGGUUAACAUUCCCGUACCGAUUAAUGAUUGUGCCGGAGAACGGAGAAGGUCAACGUCAGCUGGAUGUUGGUUACCAGUGCAAGCAGUCGAGGCGAUGAGAGGUGGUGAAAACACCAGGAGCUAAGACGCGAGUCCCACCUCCCACGGGAGGGAAGUGGCGCUGAUCAAGCUUCCUAGAAAAGCCCGAACCACGUUAAUCAUUAAUUGCCUGUACCCGAAACCGACACAGGUGGGGAAGUAGAGAAUACUAAGGGGCGCGAGAUAACUCUCUCUAAGGAACUCGGCAAAAUGACCCCGUAACUUCGGGAGAAGGGGUACCCUCGCAAGAGGGUCGCAGUGAAUAGGCCCAGGCGACUGUUUACCAAAAACACAGGUCUCCGCCAAGUCGUAAGACGCAGUAUGGAGGCUGACGCCUGCCCAGUGCCGGAAGGUUAAGGAAGUUGGUCAGGAGUAAUCUGAAGCUGACGACCGAAGCCCCGGUGAACGGCGGCCGUAACUAUAACGGUCCUAAGGUAGCGAAAUUCCUUGUCGGGUAAGUUCCGACCCGCACGAAAGGCGUAACGAUCUGGGCACUGUCUCGGAGAGAGACUCGGCGAAAUAGGAUUGUCUGUGAAGAUACGGACUACCUGCACCUGGACAGAAAGACCCUAUGAAGCUUUACUGUAGCCUGGAAUUGGCUUCGGGCUUCGCUUGCGCAGGAUAGGUGGGAAGCUUUGAAACUCUCCUCGUGGGGAGAGUGGAGCUAACGGUGAGAUACCACUCUGGCGAGGCUAGAAUUCUAACCCUGACCCCUAAUCGGGGCGGGAGACAGUUUCAGGUGGGCAGUUUGACUGGGGCGGUCGCCUCCUAAAAGGUAACGGAGGCGCGCAAAGGUUCCCUCGGUCCCGUUGGAAAUGGGACGAUAGAGUGCAAAAGCAGAAGGGAGCUUGACUGUGAGACCCACAAGUCGAACAGGGACGAAAGUCGGCUUUAGUGAUCCGACGGCACCGCGUGGAAGGGCCGUCGCUCAACGGAUAAAAGUUACUCUAGGGAUAACAGGCUGAUCUCCCCCAAGAGUUCACAUCGACGGGGAGGUUUGGCACCUCGAUGUCGGCUCAUCGCAACCUGGGGCUGAAGUCGGUCCCAAGGGUUGGGCUGUUCGCCCAUUAAAGCGGUACGUGAGCUGGGUUCAGAACGUCGUGAGACAGUUCGGUCCAUAUCCGGUGUAGGCGUAAGAGCAUUGCGAGGAGCCUUCCUUAGUACGAGAGGACCGGGAAGGACGCACCGCUGGUGUACCUGUUAUCGUGCCAACGGUAAACGCAGGGUAGCCAUGUGCGGAGCGGAUAACCGCUGAAAGCAUCUAAGUGGGAAGCCCACCUCCAGAUGAUUGCUCUCAUGGCAUUAAGCCAGUAAGGUCUCGGGUAGACUACCCGUUGAUAGGCUCUAGAUGGAAGCUCGGUAACGAGUGCAGUCGAGGAGUACUAACCGACCGAGGGCUUGACCUG